rnacentral:rRNA from 1 species
GGAACGAACGCUGGCGGCAUGCCUAAUACAUGCAAGUCGAACGAACACUUCGGUGUUAGUGGCGCACGGGUGCGUAACGCGUGGGAAUCUGCCCUUGGGUUCGGAAUAACAGUUGGAAACGACUGCUAAUACCGGAUGAUAUCGAAAGAUCAAAGAUUUAUCGCCCAGGGAUGAGCCCGCGUAGGAUUAGCUAGUUGGUGAGGUAAAGGCUCACCAAGGCGACGAUCCUUAGCUGGUCUGAGAGGAUGAUCAGCCACACUGGGACUGAGACACGGCCCAGACUCCGUACGGGAGCAGCAGUAGGGAAUAUUGGACAAUGGGACGAAAGCCUGAUCCAGCAAUGCCGCGUGAGUGAUGAAGGCCUUAGGGUUGUAAAUUCUUUACGACGGGACAUAAUGACGGUACCGAGAAGA